rnacentral:rRNA from 1 species
GAUGAACGCUGGCGGCGUGCCUAAUACAUGCAAGUCGAGCGAACGGACGAGAAGCUUGCUUCUCUGAUGUUAGCGGCGGACGGGUGAGUAACACGUGGAUAACCUACCUAUAAGACUGGGAUAACUUCGGGAAACCGGAGCUAAUACCGGAUAAUAUUUUGAACCGCAUGGUUCAAAAGUGAAAGACGGUCUUGCUGUCACUUAUAGAUGGAUCCGCGCUGCAUUAGCUAGUUGGUAAGGUAACGGCUUACCAAGGCAACGAUGCAUAGCCGACCUGAGAGGGUGAUCGGCCAACCUGGAACGGAGACACGGUCAAGAUCCCUAGGGGAGGAAGCAGUGGGAAAUCUUCUGCAAUGGGCGAAGGCCGAACGGGGCAACGCGGCGUGAGUAAGGAAGGUCUUCGAAUGGUAAACCUCUGUAUUAGGGAAGAACAUAUGUGUAAGUAACUGUGCACAUCUUGACGGUACCUAAUCAGAAAGCCACGGCUAACUACGUG